UUGAAAGGGAAACGAUUGAAGUCAGUCGUGCUGGCGCGAAAUCAACCCUCUCGUCGAGAGGUCACAUGGCGUGGCGAGCCUCAAAACCGUCACGAAGCGUGAACUCUUGGCGAAAAGGAGCACUUUCGUGUCCGCUGGUUAACAUCAAUUUCGAACGUCAUAAAAAGGCUGGAGGGAUGUGGCUCCUUCGGGAGUGUUAUAACCUUUAGCGGAAUGUGGUGGUCGGGAUUGAGGUUUGCAACGAAUACCUUUAGGGCUGUUCCACCUGGCUUCUCUUUGGUAUCCUGGUGAAGACAGCUUGCUGACUUUGUUAGGAUUCGCCUUUGAACAGGCUAGAGUGUGAGCAAAUUCCUUAAGGAUGUUGACGUA
rnacentral:rRNA from 1 species